UAGAUUGUGAAAAAGAAAAAGAGAAUCACACAUUCGCCACGUAAAUUAUAUUAUUCUCCACGUCAAAAAUUCUCUGGUUUGUCCCUUUAGCUAGCUGUUUGUUUCAAGAAAAAAGGAUUUCAUUAUAGUUUAGUGUAUAUAACUAUAUAAGGCUCUGAAGAUUGGUUGAAACGAAUAUGGCAGAAUUGGAGUCGAAUAUAACGGAGGCAUUAAAUGCGACCUUAUCUAAAGGAACAAAAGUGCCUGCCACCCUUGAAGGCACUGUUAUGGCAUAUGGGGCUCUUUUGAUCAUGGCACUCGUUCCUAUAUUCUUUGGUUCAUUUCGAUCUGUUGAUUCUCACAAGGAACAAGUUGAAAAUUCUGAACGAACCGGAGAGAAGCCUGAAACCAUGACAUCCCAUGAUGCUGCCAUGUUUCCAUUUAUCGCCUCUUCUGCUCUCUUUGGACUCUAUAUCUUUUUCCAAAUCUUUUCAAAAGAUAACAUCAAUUUGCUCCUGAGCGCUUAUUUCUUCGUCUUGGGAGUCCUUGCUCUAACCAAGAUGAUUUCCCCCUUCCUCUCAAGAAACUUCUUAUCCUUUGUACCCAAAAAAUACUUUGUUAAUAAAUUUACCAUGAGUGAUGACGAGGCGGAAACUAAUCUAUCCUAUCUCAUGGAUGCAAAAUUUUCCAGUCAUGACAUUGUAGCUCUUGCAUUGUCAUCAGUCUUAGGAGUAUGGUAUCUUUUCAAGAAACAUUGGAUUGCCAAUAACAUUUUUGGUCUGGCCUUUGCCAUAAACGGUAUCGAGCUUCUUCAUUUGAACAAUGUCAUGACGGGUUGCAUUCUCUUGGGAGGUCUUUUCUUUUAUGAUGUAUUCUGGGUUUUUGGAACCAAUGUGAUGGUCACAGUCGCUACUAACUUUGAAGCCCCUAUUAAACUAGUAUUCCCUCAAGAUUUGAUGGAAAAGGGUGUUUUUGGAGCUAGUAACAUGGCCAUGCUUGGAUUAGGAGAUAUUGUUAUUCCAGGAAUUUUUGUUGCACUUCUUCUAAGAUACGAUAGAAGUCUCAAUAGAAAGUCAAAUUUCUACUUUUACACUUGUUUUAUCGCAUAUGUUCUUGGACUCCUCACGACGAUCGGUGUCAUGCAUACAUUUAAACACGCACAGCCUGCUUUGCUUUAUUUGUCUCCUGCCUGUACCGGAAUUCCUAUUUUGGUUGCACUUAUUCGUGGAGAUGUAAAAUCCAUGUUUCAGUACAAGGAUCACCCUGAUAAGGAAGAGAAAGGGGAAAAGAACGAAAAAAAGAACGAAUAAGUUAACCUUUGAAGAAUCCAUUCGUUUAAAUUGGAUACAUCCUUGCAUAUACAUAUUCUUGUUAAAUCUAUGAUAUUCUUCCGAAGCUGUAUUAAUUGUCGUACAAACUUAUGUCAAAUUUGCCUAAAUUUAUUAUCACACACAACCCGUCAUUGGUUCUUGUUUUUUAAACCAAGAUUCACUAGUGACUACCUCUUCUUUUCUCUCUUUAAUCCAAAUUUACUUACUUAAUUAUUACCAUCAUCAUACCAAUUUUACGACACAUUUAGAAACAUUAAUACUAUGUUAAACAUCUGUAUAGUUGUUUCCCUUAAAAAAACACGACACUUUUAAUAUCUGCGUAUUAGGAAUGAGAUAGUAUUUAAUGUUGUCAUUCUUUAUCUUGUUGUUUGCUUGUUUAUGUAAUAUAUUUAUCUUCAGAAAAUAAAAUGGGCAUACUUUGUUAUUUCAGGUAAUUAAAUUAGUAGAUCUAUGUACCUAUAUGUAGCGGCGUUAGUGCGUCCAGCUCCACAUCUCAACAUCAGUAAAUGUGUAAAAAAUUUUAUCUAUGUUUUAAAUAAUAAAAAAAAUCCUUCUUAA
rnacentral:misc_RNA from 1 species